AUCCAGCUGACGAGUCCCGAAUGGGAGGAAACAGGCGUCUUGGAU
rfam:Schistosoma curassoni strain Dakar, Senegal genome assembly, scaffold: SCTD_contig0006069